UACAUGGGGUGCAAACGUUGCUCGGAAUUAUUGGGCGUAAAGCGCGCGUAGGCGGUUACUCAAGUCGGAUGUGAAAGCCCUCGGCUUAACUGAGGAAGUGCACCCGAAACUGAGUAGCUAGAGUACUAAAGAGGGUCGCGGAAUUCCCGGUGUAGAGGUGAAAUUCGUAGAUAUCGGGAGGAACACCGGUGGCGAAGGCGGCGACCUGGGACCGUACUGACGCUGAGACGCGAAAGCGUGGGGAGCGAACAGG
rnacentral:rRNA from 1 species